CGGACGGGUGAGGAAUACAUCGGAAUCUACUCUGUCGUGGGGGAUAACGUAGGGAAACUUACGCUAAUACCGCAUACGACCUACGGGUGAAAGCAGGGGAUCUUCGGACCUUGCGCGAUUGAAUGAGCCGAUGUCGGAUUAGCUAGUUGGCGGGGUAAAGGCCCACCAAGGCGACGAUCCGUAGCUGGUCUGAGAGGAUGAUCAGCCACACUGGAACUGAGACACGGUCCAGACUCCUACGGAAGGCAGCAGCG
rnacentral:rRNA from 1 species